rnacentral:tRNA from 1 species
UGAGAGAUGGCUCAGUGGUUAAGAGUGCUGGCUGCUCUUCCAGGAUACCUGGGUUAGAUUCCCAGCAGCUCAC